UGCUUCAGCUUCUGUUGCAAAUAUUAUGCUUUGUUUAAAGGGCUCAUAUCAUGCAAAAUCCACUUUUUAGACAUUUUGGAGCGUUCCUAUGACUCUAUGGGUCACAUAUACACACACUGAGCACGGUAGAAAUGCAUUUCCUGCUUUUUUCACAUUUUGAAAACGUAAAUUUUCUCACCCAAUGAAAACAGACCACGACCUACUCUGAGGCCGUGUCCCAGUUGUCGUCACCUUGGUCGGAAGUUCUCCCUGCAAAUCCUGAACCACCACCCCCACAAUGAUCCCGAACCAAAACUGGACUUCCGCCAUUUCCCCCCUCUCACUCACCGUGAACAGACGAGCACGGCAGCGCCCAAGUCCUCCCAUAGAAAUAGUUCGGUUCUUAGGUGUUCUAACCAACACCAAAGUCUAUUCACUUUAACAAGGGAUCAACAAGUGAGGAUUUGUGGGUUACUUUUAUUUUUAACGGACCGGUGCCAGAAACACUGCCUAUACGUAUGUGCAUUUCAAACGAGGGUGCGUACAAUGCUGGAUUUGUUUAACGGCUCCUGUUGGAAAAAAAAAGGAUCUAUUCCUACAGUCCGUCAUCCACUCACUGCAGUAAGUACAUGCUUGAUAUUUAUAAUGUUUUAAAAUGUUAGUUUGUCCGUUUAAAUGUAGUAACCUAUGUGUGGGGCAAGUUACUAGCUAGCUAUGCUAACGGCUACAGCCAGUCGACCGAGCCUUUGUCCCCUUCAAAUGUGCUCAUGUGGGCUCCUGCAGCCACACACCUGUGUGGAGAAAAGCUAAUGGCUAAUGGCAUCGAGCGGCUACAGGCAGGGAGUGGUGGGUCUAGCGUCUGUCCUUUUUCUGUAAUCUCAUACACCUGCGGGGAACAGCUGAUCGUAAUCGCCCUUCCAGCGGCGACAGGCAGGAAGCGGUGGAUCUAGCUCGCUGUAGUAAGUUUGUGCUUGAUACUUGUGAUAUCUAAAUAUGUUAGUUGGGUCUGUUUAAAAUGCAGUAACCCACGUGUGAGACAAGCUAAUCGCUAGCGUCGCUAACGGCUACAGUGAGUCAACCGAGCCUUUGUCCCUUUCAAAUGUGCUACUCUGAGUUGGUGCAAUCACACACCUGUGUGAGGAACAGCUAAUAGCGAUGGGCCUUCGAUCGGCGACAGGCAGGAAGCGGUGGAUCAAGCUUUUGUCCUGUUGACGUGCUGCCGCUCCUGUUUGUGUUGCGUUAGCCGUUAGCAUGUCUUUAGGCCUUUGCACUUUAGAGCUACAGCUGGUCGAUCGCUACAAAAAGAAACUGCAGAUGAAAGCGGUUAUGUUUGUUAUUACCCCGUCCUGUGUCACAGCCUAAAUCAACUUGUGAUUUGGGGUUAUGUCAUUGUUCUAUCAAAUUCUAACAUGAUUAGUUGGAAUGAUUACUGUGUUGUGUUGCAAGCUUAGUUGCUAAUUAGUCACAUCUCUACAAUAACCGCUGCUUAUCUGGUCAGUUACCUAUAGCUUGUACCAUAGCCAUUAUAUUUGUAGGACCAAUACAAUUUACAGUAAAUGUAACAGUCUUUUCUAUACUGUAGGGAGCCACAUCCUAGUUACCUACAUGCAAGGAGGCUGUCAAACAGAGAAAUCACUGCAGACUGUUGGUACACAGACAUCUGCUGCCCAGCUCAGGAGUGAAGUACCUUUUUGUUUUGAUGAGGUGAUGGUGAGGACAGCCACAGCUUCCAUCUGGUAGAGGACUGCUUCCGCUCAGUCUUCCAAAUAGUGAUGAGAACAAGGAUCACCACAUCUCCCUGUUUACCCUACUUUCAUGCAUUUCGUCUGCAAGGCCCUGCAAAAGCUUCUGUCAUCAAACCCCCAGACUUCUUAAUUAACUCAGUAACCUAUACAUUGCACAUUGGAGUGUGAAGGUAACAGUUUGUUCUAGCUUUGGAGUAGUGGUGCAUUUUUUUGGUUUACAAUAAAGUUGGCUUUAACUAUUA